AUGAAAGCUUGCUCGGCCCCAGGGCCCGAUGGCCUUCCUGUAGUCUUCUUCCAGAAAUUCUGGGAGAUCUUGCGUCCGGUCAUUAUGCCCAUGUUCCAUGAGUUUUAUAUUGGAACUUUGGACAUGGCUGGGAUUAACUAUCGUGUCAUAUCUCUUAUCCCCAAAGUUGUUGGGGCUACGGAUAUUCGGCAAUUCCAUCCCAUCACGAUGAUCAAUGUGUUGGAGGGAAUCUUUGCGAAGGUUUGCGCGACCCAUUUGUCCCCCGUGGCGGAAAGGAUUUCCCACCCCCUUCAGUCCGUGUUCCUGAAGGGCCGGCGGAUCCAUGACGGGAUUCUUGCCCUUCAUGAGAUUGUCCAUGAGGUGGCGUCGAAGGGGCUUAAGGGGGUCUUCCUCAAAUUGGACUUCCAAAAGGCAUAUGACCGUUUGGACUGGUCCUUUUUGAGGUUGGUGGUGCAGCGACGAGGAUUUGACGAGCGGUGGUGCUCCUAG
rnacentral:rRNA from 1 species